GUAGCCUCGUAGGAUCCUCCCGUCCUUCAACAAUGUGGUUAAAACAAAGCAGGCAAUGUUCUAAAUGUUUGAAAUAGCCCAGGACUAUCCUGAAGAGGGUUCAACAACAUAAAAAAUCAUAUAUAUCAAAUAUGACAACACUUAAGAUGAAGAAUUUAGCCCUAACUGUUGAUGUGGAGUUGGUGCUAAUUUGCUGCCAUUCCCUUUCGUGAUGUUUUCAAUGUCAAGUAAUGCACAUUAAUAGCUGGACGCUGACAAAUUGUCACUCACACCUGAGAACAGGCUGGUGAAUUCUGAGCUUCCUUGUGUCAGUCCAAUAUGUGCUAUGUGCAAAUGGGUUUGUUAAAGCCAGCCGGUGAUAGGUGCUCUUCUUGCUACCUGUACCAGCUGUAUGUUUCAUAUCGUAAAAAACACUGAACAGAAUGAACUGAACUUCAGAAGAAUGAAGGAUUAACAGCCUGGUGAAGUAUGAGCUUCUUUGUUGCUGCCCAAUGUUCACACGGAUUUGACAUAAGCGGCAGGUAAAGGUGGUUUUUCUCUUGCUUCCUGUGCUGCUGUGUGCUCAGUCCCUUGAAGAAACACUUAAGAACUAUUGAAGUAAUUAUUUUAAUAAAUUUUUAAAUUGUAUUUCUCAUUAAAGCUAGUCAACUGUAGAU